rnacentral:rRNA from 1 species
CCUACGGGAGGCAGCAGUGGGGAAUUUUGGACAAUGGGCGCAAGCCUGAUCCAGCAAUGCCGCGUGCAGGAUGAAGGCCUUCGGGUUGUAAACUGCUUUUGUACGGAACGAAACGGCGAGCUUUAAUACAGUUUGCUAAUGACGGUACCGUAAGAAUAAGCACCGGCUAACUACGUGCCAGCAGCCGCGGUAAUACGUAGGGUGCGAGCGUUAAUCGGAAUUACUGGGCGUAAAGCGUGCGCAGGCGGUUCUAUAAGACAGAUGUGAAAUCCCCGGGCUCAACCUGGGAACUGCGUUUGAAACUACAAGGCUAGAGUGUAGCAGAGGGGGGUGGAAUUCCACGUGUAGCAGUGAAAUGCGUAGAGAUGUGGAGGAACACCGAUGGCGAAGGCAGCCCCCUGGGUUAACACUGACGCUCAGGCACGAAAGCGUGGGGAGCAAACAGGAUUAGAUAUCCUGGUAGUCUACGCCCUAAACGAUGUCAACUAGUUGUCGGGUCUUAACGGACUUGGUAACGUAGCUAACGCGUGAAGUUGACCGCCUGGGAAGUACGGUCGCAAGAUUAAAACUCAAAGGAAUUGACGG